ACCCGCUGAACUUAAGCAUAUCAAUAAGCGGAGGAAAAGAAACUAACAAGGAUUCCCCUAGUAACGGCGAGUGAAGAGGGAAAAGCUCAAAUUUUGAAUCUGGUGUCUUUGACUCCCGAGUUGUAAUCUAGAGAAGUGUUUUCCGUGUCGGACCGUGUACAAGUUCCCUGGAAC
rnacentral:rRNA from 1 species